rnacentral:tRNA from 1 species
GCAUUGGUGGUAUAGUGGUGAGCAUAGCUGCCUUUCCGGCAGUUGACCCGGGUUCGAUUCCCGGCCAAUGCA